GACGAACGCUGGCGGCGUGCUUAACACAUGCAAGUCGAACGGAAAGGCCCUGCUUUUGUGGGGUGCUCGAGUGGCGAACGGGUGAGUAACACGUGAGUAACCUGCCCUUGACUUUGGGAUAACUUCAGGAAACUGGGGCUAAUACCGGAUAGGAGCUCCUGCUGCAUGGUGGGGGUUGGAAAGUUUCGGCGGUUGGGGAUGGACUCGCGGCUUAUCAGCUUGUUGGUGUGGUAGUGGCUUACCAAGGCUUUGACGGGUAGCCGGCCUGAGAGGGUGACCGGCCACAUUGGGACUGAGAUACGCACCAGACUCCUACGGGAGGCAGCAGUGGGGAAUAUUGCACAAUGGGCGGAAGCCUGAUGCAGCAACGCCGCGUGCGGGAUGACGGCCUUCGGGUUGUAAACCGCUUUCGCCUGUGACGAAGCGUGAGUGACGGUAAUGGGUAAAGAAGCACCGGCUAACUACGUG
rnacentral:rRNA from 1 species